CAGAGACUCCGGCUCAAAAAAAAAAAAAAAAGAAACAAUACAGAGAAGAUUAGCAGGGCCUGUGAGCAAGGAUGACAUGCAAAUUCUUGAAGCAUUUCAUAUUUUG
rnacentral:snRNA from 1 species